ACGGGUGAGUAAUGCCUAGGAAUCUGCCUGGUAGUGGGGGACAACGUUUCGAAAGGAACGCUAAUACCGCAUACGUCCUACGGGAGAAAGCAGGGGACCUUCGGGCCUUGCGCUAUCAGAUGAGCCUAGGUCGGAUUAGCUUGUUGGUGAGGUAAUGGCUCACCAAGGCGACGAUCCGUAACUGGUCUGAGAGGAUGAUCAGUCACACUGGAACUGAGACACGGUCCAGACUCCUACGGGAGGCAGCAGUGGGGAAUAUUGGACAAUGGGCGAAAGCCUGAUCCAGCCAUGCCGCGUGUGUGAAGAAGGUCUUCGGAUUGUAAAGCACUUUAAGUUGGGAGGAAGGGUUGUAGAUUAAUACUCUGCAAUUUUGACGUUACCGACAGAAUAAGCACCGGCUAACUCUGUGCCAGCAGCCGCGGUAAUACAGAGGGUGCAAGCGUUAAUCGGAAUUACUGGGCGUAAAGCGCGCGUAGGUGGUUUGUUAAGUUGGAUGUGAAAGCCCCGGGCUCAACCUGGGAACUGCAUCCAAAACUGGCAAGCUAGAGUACGGUAGAGGGUGGUGGAAUUUCCUGUGUAGCGGUG
rnacentral:rRNA from 5 species